UCGAACGAGUUCUCGUUGAUGAUCGGUGCUUGCACUGAGAUUCAACAUGCGAACGAGUGGCGGACGGGUGAGUAACACGUGGGUAACCUGCCCUUAAGUGGGGGAUAACAUUUGGAAACAGAUGCUAAUACCGCAUAGAUCCAAGAACCGCAUGGUUCUUGGCUGAAAGAUGGCGUAAGCUAUCGCUUUUGGAUGGACCCGCGGCGUAUUAGCUAGUUGGUGAGGUAAUGGCUCACCAAGGCGAUGAUACGUAGCCGAACUGAGAGGUUGAUCGGCCACAUUGGGACUGAGACACGGCCCAAACUCCUACGGGAGGCAGCAGUAGGGAAUCUUCCACAAUGGACGCAAGUCUGAUGGAGCAACGCCGCGUGAGUGAAGAAGGCUUUCGGGUCGUAAAACUCUGUUGUUGGAGAAGAAUGGUCGGCAGAGUAACUGUUGUCGGCGUGACGGUAUCCAACCAGAAAGCCACGGCUAACUACGUGCCAGCAGCCGCGGUAAUACGUAAGUGGCAAGCGUUAUCCGGAUUUAUUGGGCGUAAAGCGAGCGCAGGCGGUUUUUUAAGUCUGAUGUGAAAGCCCUCGGCUUAACCGAGGAAGCGCAUCGGAAACUGGGAAACUUGAGUGCAGAAGAGGACAGUGGAACUCCAUGUGUAGCGGUGAAAUGCGUAGAUAUAUGGAAGAACACCAGUGGCGAAGGCGGCUGUCUGGUCUGUAACUGACGCUGAGGCUCGAAAGCAUGGGUAGCGAACAGGAUUAGAUACCCUGGUAGUCCAUGCCGUAAACGAUGAAUGCUAGGUGUUGGAGGGUUUC
rnacentral:rRNA from 1 species